rnacentral:rRNA from 1 species
CGGGGUGGAGUAACGCGUGGGUAACCGUGCCUUGUACAGGGGGAUAACAGUUGGAAACGGCUGCUAAUACCGCAUAAGCGCACGGCAUCGCAUGAUGCAGUGUGAAAAACUCCGGUGGUAUAAGAUGGACCCGCGUUGGAUUAGCUAGUUGGUGAGGUAACGGCCCACCAAGGCGACGAUCCAUAGCCGACCUGAGAGGGUGACCGGCCGCAUUGGGACUGAGACACGGCCCAA